rnacentral:rRNA from 1 species
CCUACGUGUGGCUGCAGUGAGGAAUAUUGGUCAAUGGACGAGAGUCUGAACCAGCCAAGUAGCGUGAAGGAUGACUGCCCUAAGGGUUGUAAACUUCUUUUAUAAAGGAAUAAAACGAGGCACGUGUGCCUUUUUGCAUGUACUUUAUGAAUAAGGAUCGGCAAACUCCGUGCCAGCAGCCGCGGUAAUAAUGAGGAUCAGAGCGUUAUCCGGAUUUAUGGGGUUUAAAGGAAGCGUAGAUGGGUUGUUAAGUCCGUUGUGAAAGUUUGCGGCUCAACCGUAAAAUUGCAAUUGAUACUGGCAUUCUUGAGUUCAGUUGAGGUAGGCGGAAUUCGUGGUGUAGCGG